rnacentral:lncRNA from 8 species
CUGCACUCUAACUGUAGUUACACUGCAAAAUUACUGCAGUAAAAAAAACGGUGUUAUUUUGGAUGCAGUAUUUGCAGCAUACUGCAGUUAUACUGCACUCUAACUGCAGUUAUACUGCAGUGUACUGCAGUUAUACUACACUCUUACUGAAAACAUUUUUCAUAAGGAUAACAAUUUGGUUUUAGGCUGAUAUUUACUUAUAUUUAGCCCUGUUCAAGAUCACAUCAUAGUCAUUUCCAAUAAAUUAGAUUUAAAUUAGAUUCACCAAGAGCUUUGAACGAACAGGAAGCCCAUUUUCAGUGUGGAGCAGGUAUUGAGCGUUGUUUAACCCCACAGAAAGACGCCUCAGCCCCUGGGACAGACCCAUUCCUCACACCCUCGAUCCAUCAUGGCUGCCUACGAUCGAGAGAGGAGUGUUCCCUCGGGAAAAGAGAAUCCACGGAGGCUCCUCCGUUGCCUGCCCUCUCAAUCUCAAGAACAACAGGUCUCAUUUGGUCCGAUGUCCAUGUCGAGCAAAUGUAGCGGUAUGUGGAUGGAGCUGGAAAUCAUUUUAUUGAUGUGUAUGGUUGGCAGACUUCCCAUUCCUUUUCAGGAGAAAGCUUGAGCCAUGCUCACUCACUCAUUGCAACAAUCAGAAGUGACCUUCGAGGUGACAAACAAGGGUGACUGCGAUGGAUUGUUCACAUAUUUGCUUACGUAACCAAGUCAUGUACUUCGAAGAUGAAUUACCCUGCAAAUCAGUUAAGACAAGUGUCGUGGAUAUUAAUUUAAGUUUGAUUCAUAUAUUUCUAAGCUCGGUGAAUUAUUAGAUGGGUUCACAGCGAAGGCGACAAUGUGUACCAGAAUACAUAAAGGAAUGUGUAAUUAUGAGAUACAAAAUAAAUGGAUUGUAUAAGUGAAUCUUGUCUGAUUUAAUGUGGGUCCUUUUUUUGAUCAACAAAACCAUGAACAAUAUUAUCUUCACAUGUGGAAUGUGACAUCCAGCCACAUCCUCACAAAAACUUUUUCGUAAAAGGCCUUCUAAAUCUGGUAGAAAAACACUCAUUUCCAGCCACUUUGUAUGAAUGUUAGUCUAUACUGUAGUAUACAGCC